rnacentral:rRNA from 1 species
UGGGAACCUUCCCUAUGGUUCGGAAUAGCUCAGGGAAACUUGGGGUAAUACCGGAUAAGCCCUUCGGGGGAAAGAUUUAUCGCCAUUGGAUGGGCCCGCGUCGCAUUAGCUAGUUGGUGAGGUAACGGCUCACCAAGGCAACGAUGCGUAGCCGACCUGAGAGGGUGAUCGGCCACAUUGGAACUGAGACACGGUCCAGACUCCUACGGGAGGCAG